UACGUAGGGUGCGAGCGUUAAUCGGAAUUACUGGGCGUAAAGCGUGCGCAGGCGGUUUUGUAAGCCAGAUGUGAAAUCCCCGGGCUCAACCUGGGAAUGGCAUUUGGGACUGCAAGGCUGGAGUACGGCAGAGGAGACUGGAAUUCCUGGUGUAGCGGUGAAAUGCGCAGAUAUCAGGAGGAACACCGAUGGCGAAGGCAGGUCUCUGGGCCACUACUGACGCUGAGAAGCGAAAGCAUGGGGAGCGAACAGG
rnacentral:rRNA from 1 species